AGAACGAACGCUGGCGGCAGGCCUUAAGCAUGCAAGUCGAACGCGAUCUUAGGAUCGAGUGGCGCACGGGUGAGUAACGCGUGGGAAUCUACACAGGAGUAUGGAAUAACUUGGGGAAACUUAAGCUAAUACCGUAUACGCCCUACGGGGGAAAGAUUUAUCGCUCUUGGAUGAGCCCGCGUCAGAUUAGCUAGUUGGUGGGGUAAUGGCCUACCAAGGCGAUGAUCUGUAGCUGGUCUGAGAGGACGGACAGCCACACUGGGACUGAGACACGGCCCAGACUCCUACGGGAGGCAGCAGCUAGGAAUAUUGGACAAUGGGGGCAACCCUGAUCCAGCCAUGCCGCGUGAGUGAAGAAGGCCUUCGGGUUGUAAAGCUCUUUCGGUCGUGAAGAUGAUGACUGUAGCGACAUAAGAAGCCCCGGCUAACUUCGUGCCAGCAGCCGCGGUAAUACGAAGGGGGCUAGCGUUGUUCGGAUUUACUGGGCGUAAAGCGCACGUAGGCGGUCUUUUAAGUCAGGGGUGAAAUCCCGGGGCUCAACCCCGGAACUGCCUUUGAUACUGAGAGACUUGAGUAUGAUAGAGGGUGAUGGAAUUCCCAGUGUAGGGGUUAAAUCCAUAGAUAUUGGGAGGAACACCAGUGGCGAAAGCGGUCACCUGGAUCAUUACUGACGCUCAUGUGCGAAAGCGUGGGGAGCAAACAGGAUUAGAUACCCUGGUAGUCCACGCCGUAAACGAUGCGUGCUUGUUGUUGGAUUUAUUCAGUGACGGAGCUAACGCGUUAAGCACGCCGCCUGGGGAGUACGGUCGCAAGAUUAAAACUUAAAGGAAUUGACGGGGACCCGCACAAGCGGUGGAUCAUGUGGUUUAAUUCGAUGCUACGCGAAGAACCUUACCAACCCUUGACAUGGAGUGUAUGGGUCACAGAGAUGUUUCUCUUCAGUUCGGCUGGCGCUCACACAGGUAUUGCAUGGCUGUCGUCAGCUCGUGUCGUGAGAUGUUGGGUUAAGUCCCGCAACGAGCGCAACCCUCAUCCUUAGUUGCCAACAGGUAAAGCUGGGAACUCUAAGGAAACUGCCGGUGAUAAGCUGGAGGAAGGUGGGGAUGACGUCAAGUCAGCAUGAUCCUUACGGGUUGGGCUACACACGUGAUACAAUGGCAUCUACAAUGAGAAGCAAACUCGCAAGGGUGAGCCAAUCUUUAAAAGAUGUCUCAGUUCGGAUUGUCCUCUGCAACUUGAGGGCAUGAAGUUGGAAUCGCUAGUAAUCGUGGAUCAGCUACGCCACGGUGAAUACGUUCCCGGGUCUUGUACACACCGCCCGUCAUCUCAUGGGAGCUGGUUCUACCCGAAGACGG
rnacentral:rRNA from 1 species